GGCUGGGCCAGGCCCACUCGCUGCCGACAGUGACAGUCAGCUGUGAUCUUCCAUCAGCUGCGCCUCAUUAUCCUGUCAGGGCUCCCUCUGCCCAUCGAUGGGAAACAAUGUGUAAUCACUUCCCACUGAUUGCAAAUCACGCUGCUCGGCCCACCACCACGUGGCCCAGACUGCCAAGCGGUCCCUGGGCCCUGGGACCCCUGGCUGCCUCCCCAGGGGGGCUCCGGGAGCUUGGAGCACAGUGGCCACCCUAGCCCUACCCUACCCUAUCUCUACCCUACUCUCCCAGGUAGAGUGGGAGAGAAGGGUGAGGUUACAGAAGGGGUGGCUGAUCACAGACCCCACGGAAUGACGGAGUCAGGUUCAGAACAGCUACUUUGUGGGAUUUAUUUCGGGGACAGAGAAGGGGCCAACUCUCCUCCCUUCAGGGAAAACCACAUGGGUUCUAUGAUUCUGGAAUGAAUACUUGGCUGGGGGGUAGGGACCACGUUUUAAAAACAGAACAUUCUUACUGCAGCACUCAGGCACUGAAGGCCUUAGGUCUGAUUCAAGUCCUCAUCUUGACAGGGACUCCCUGUGUGACACUGGGCGAGUCACCUAAUCGCUCUUGGUCUCAAUGUUCUCGUCUGUAAAAUGGGAAUGACAGCCGUAUCAAGCAUUUAGAGAUGUCUUCCUAAUUCAACGAGAUAAUAAAUGCAAAAUCUUUAAGACUCACUGAAUACCAGUUGUUGGUAUUUUUAAUGCAAUUUGACAUACAACCUGACUGUCCAUCAACAGAGGAAUGGAUAAAGAAGAUGCAGUACAUAUAUACAUAAUGGAACACUACUCCGCCAUAAAAAAGAAUGAAAUAAUGCCAUCUGCAGCAACAAGGAUGGACCUAGAGAUGAUGAUACUAAGUGAAGUCAGUCAGAAAAAGACAAAUACCAUAUGAUAUCACUUACGUGUGAACGCUGAAAUAUGACACAAACGACCUUACCUAUGAAACAGACAUAGGCAGAGAAGAACACACUUGUGGUUGCCAAGGAGGAGGGGGUUGGGGAGGGAUGGAGUGGGAGUUUGGGGUUAGCAGAUGCAAACUAGUAUCUAUUGAAUGGAUAAACAACAAAGUCCUACUGCAUAGCGGCGGGAACCAUAUCCAGUAUUCUAUGAUAAACCGCAAUGGAAAAGAAAAAAAUAAUUUGAGGUUGAUGCAGAGUUCAUUUCCCAACACUGCUCUCCCUCCACCUAAAGGAAGACGUAUCUGUGGCAGGAAAAUCACAGGUUCCAAAUGUUUUCUUCUACCGGAAACGAUGCUCAUCCUACCAGGGCACGAGAGGGGCAGAUGCAUGUGGUCGAAUCCCUGCUGGCAGGGCGUUUCGAGAUCCUGAAGCGCGUCUGCACAGAGCGGUGAGGUCGUUCAUCCUGGCUGCACAUUAGCAUCACCUGGAGAACUUGAAAAGCUAUUCACGACCCGUCCCUCUAUCCGAGACCAAGCACAUCAGAAUUUCCUGCGGCGAGGCCUUGGCCUCUUCCCCUUCCUCUUCCCCUCCUGCCAGGUGAGCUGAACGUACGGCCAGAGUCAGCGUUUCAGCAGCUAAGAGGGAGAGAUGCUGCCAUCAUAAAGGUGUGUCGAAACGGAGCGCUUUCUGCACACCUGUGAUGGGGCGAAGAAUCUCUCCUCUUCCUCCUUCCUUUCCUCCUUCUCCCCUCCGUCCUCCUCCUCUCCAUCCUCCUCCUCUUCCUCUGAGGCCGGGUUGAGUCAUCAUUCUGGAAACCUUCUCCAGCUCUUCCUCGGGAGGGAGACGCCUGCGUGGAAUGCUUCCCGACUUAACCCUUUUCUGGUGCUAAAGAUCGCCCAAGAGUCGGGACAAGAGGGGACAGGCUAUGGUUACCCUGAUUACUCUCUGCUGGACAGCCCAGGAAGGGCAGAGUCACGGACACGGCCCGGCCUUCCUGCAGGCAUCCAGAAAGCUCAUAGGAACCCAGGUAAGAACACAAUGGAUGUGUGGGCAGUGGACCUGAAUCUAGCAACUUCGCUCCACCUAUACACUACAAAAUUUACGAGCAACCCAGAAAGAUCCUUCAGCAAUAAUUCCUACAUGGGCUCAACUUCUAGGUGCAGCCAGCUUUCCUUUAGACGUGCAGGGCCUCUGUGGACACCGUGGAUGGCAUGGGCAUACAAGAACUGAGAAACGCAUGCCCUGUCUUGUCACCAACAAAAGUGCCCCGAGACACCAAGCUUCACACACGCAGGACCAGAGUUCCCCUCAUACUCGGAGCAGCAGCUAGGGCAUCACAGCUGUUUUCCACGGCUCUUCCUGCAGCGUGUACAUGCACGCAGAAAUGGCCCUUAGGAGUCAAGGGGCCUUCUUCUUAUUUGCUUUUCUACAAGAUAACUUUCCCAAAAGAGCACUGGAGUUAGGAGGAGGAAGUCAGAGUUACAGGUGCAGCCAGAGUCCUGAUGGAGCCCCGAGUCAUCUGACUUACAGGGAUGAAUCUUUUGAGGCCGGCAGAGGGGCUGAGGAGGGUCAGGCUUGGCUGUUCAUGGCCACGGGCUGCUGAUUUAUAACCUCAGAAUGGGCUCCAGGUUGGAGCGAAUGCUUGAUUGAAUACUGCAUCUACCACAGGCCUCCCUCCAGGAUGCCUGCUUCCAGCCUCAGGAUGAGGGGACAGUGGGCUUCCCUGUGGUGGGUGGAGCUCCUUCUGGAGCGGGUUUAGAGCCCACCUGACCCUGGACACCAGGUACCUCCUGAAGAAGAGCUAGAAAUAAAGCAUCAACAGAGAUGUCAGAGCUUCCUGUAACACGACCUCUCUCUCCAUCACGGAGAGGUCACUGGAUAAGAAGACGGAGCUGUCGUCUGUGUAAGGACCGCACAAUAUGACUGCUUGGUGAAUACUCUGGCGGAAACCUGUACCACAUCCUUUGAUUCAUUUUCCUUCUUUGGUUCUUGUAAGAACAGAGACUCUACUGAGUGAGGACAGAGAGCCGGCCACUGUGGGACAUCAGGGCUGUGCGGACACUGUGUACAGGGAUGCAUCAACAGCCCUCAGAAGGAGUAUCAUUAUCUUCUGUGCGCUAUGAAGAAACUGAGUCUCAGCGAAGGUGAAUGAGAGAGCGGGGAUGGAGCCAAUCUUAAAUCUGUGAAACCGCUUCAUUUCUGAAUGGAACAGGUAAAGUCGAAACAAAUCAAACACACUUCCACUUCCUGACAGUGCGUGAGGGACCAUCAUUCAUUUUGCAGGUGGGACCCUUCUAGACACCGCUAAAGAGAAUGUGCUUCUCCUUUACUCCCAGCCAAGGUCACUGGAUCCGGGGCUGCGACAUGGGGGUGGGACCCUGUCCUUGGUCGUCGCUGCCUGCUGGCGGCUGGACAGAGCCUGGUGCUUCUUUCCAGGAUGGUGCGAGGCCACCUUCUUUUGCCCCCCAGCCAUCCUAGAAGGUUGGCGCCUGUUUUAGCUGCACAACAAAUGGAUAUUUUUGGCUUCAAGGGGGCUGAGUAACUUCCCUAUCAGCACAAACGUCAUGAGAAAGGGGGCAGGAUUUGAAAAGAGCCACCUCGGUCCCAUUUCCAAAGUCUGUGCACGUUCCCAUCUGCCACCUGGCUCCACAGGUACCUUCUGAGCCCCCCUGUCUUCAUCUGUGGAGUAGGAACUGAGGGCAUCUUCUUUGUGCUCUUCCUGUGCUGCUGCGUGUGUGACACAUAAUAUUCUACACAAUGAGGCCUAGUGCAUCACUGGACAAGUGGCUGGAAAGCGUACAUGCUAACUGCUAUGAAAUCAGAGUCUCAUUUCCAAGGCGCUUUAAGUUGUGCGUCUCCAGCACAGCUUCUUGGGUCAAAUGGGGACUUAAAGAAAACCUGAGUACAUUUUGAUUGGAUACUUUAAAACGAGAGCUAGGCACGAUGGAGGGCAUUUUGGCCAAUUCUGGCCAAAUCUUGCGCUGUGUGUCUCCAGUUAAAGUCUAACCUUGAUCCCACAGAAAUGCUAUUUUCUAUAGAAUAUGGAUUUGAUUUCCUUAAACACUUAAAUGAUGUCUCCAUUAUGAAAAUAGCAAAGAGCUAUUCCUUGCUUCCCUUCACUGAAUAACUUUUGAUGUGAGCUAACAGGCUUAUCUCUCUGUUCCCAACAUCUGGGCAACCUUUAACCCCUACCCUAUCAGAAAUAACUUGGGAGAUUUGAAGGAAAAUAAACCAACCAGCAAAAAUGGUUGCCUGACCCUAAGCCAAGAAUUUUUGAAUUGUGUGGGUUUAACAAGUUCUUAAAAACAACUAUUGUUGCGUUCUCUAGGUAAUGUACAGCCAAGAAUAAGAAACAGCAUUCCACCAAGCUAAACCUCUUCAGCUUUGCAAGACUCCCAUUCCUCCUCAGGGCCUUUGCACAUGCUGUUCCCUCUUCCGAGGACUCUGUUCCCUUUAGGCUUCACUUAAUUAGGUCAUACUCAUCCAUCGGUCUCAGUAUAAUAUGUCUUUCCAUGAGAAACCUCCCCCUCCUGUAGUGAGCAGACCCUAGGGAGGCCCCCAUGAUUCCUGCUCCUGGUGUAUAACCCCUUUGCUUGAGUAUAGACAGAACCCGUGACUUGCUGCUGGCCAACAGACUACAUGCAAAAGGGGAAGUGAUUUUGAAGAUAUGAUAAUAAGGUCCUAAAUCUGAUGAUUUUAAGUUAAGAGGUAAUUAUCUUGCUGUUCAGGGCUUGGCUUAAUCAGGUGAAAAACUGCAAGAGAGGGCUCAGACCUUCCUUGAGAGGUUUGAUGUAAUGAGUGGCCACAACCACAUCUUCAUGUCCGGGAACUGUGGGCUGACUCUAGGACCUAAGCGUGACUCCAGCCAAUAAAGUCGAGAACGCUCAAUCAUUCAACCACAGGGAGAUCCAUUCUGUCAGUUACUUGGAUGAGCUGAGACGUGGACUGUUCUCCAUCUGAGCCUCCACAUGAGAACACAGCCCAGCCAAGCCCUUGAUCACUAUCUUGCAAGACCCCGAGCAGAGGGCCCAGAUAAAGUGAACCCGGAUGCCUGACCUACACACACUAUGAAAUAAUACAUGUGCGUUGCUUUAAGACCCUAAGUUUGUGGUUAUGCUACAGUAGAAACACAAACACUUCCCUGACUCUCCCCUCAUAAAUGUUUUCUUGGACUCCUGACACUCUUUGCAACCUUAGCACAUGUCUGAAUACUGUGUCCAAUUCUGUCUCCCCAGGAGACUGCAGGCUUGAUGAGGGCAGGGCCCCUGCCUGUCUUACUUGCUCACUGCUUUGCCCUGGCGCCUCACUGAUGCUUGGUGUGCAUGCAGUAGGCUCUCAAUAGAUGCCACUGAAUGGAUGAAUGCGUGCACAAGCCAAGCAAUCAGGCUGUGCCCCCACUUCGGUCUUUCUACUGAGCCCCAUCCACAUCCUCCUCCCGGUGCCCCUUCUGGCGUUUUCUCUGCACAAGAGCAGAGCUCGCCACACUCUGGCUCCGAGGCCGAAGCUACCCUGACACCUAACAUCUGUCCAGUUCAUGCCGCCCAUGAGGUGAAAGUUGUUUUCACGUGUUAAAACGCUUAGAAAAAAAUUUUUAAAUACUGAUAUUUCAUGAAGCUUGAAGAUUCUAAGAAAUUCAAAAUUCAGUGUCUGCACAUCAAGUUUUACUGGUGCAGAGCCACGUCUUACUUGUUUACCCACUGCCUGUGCUGGUUCUCUUACUACAAUGGCUGAGGUGGGAAGUUGUGACAGUGAUGACACAGGCCACAGAGACUGAAAUAUUUACUAUUUGGCCCUUUAGAGUAAAAAUGUGUCAACCUCUAAUGGAGAGUUUGGGAACCAUGGAUGGAGACGGUAGAGUCAGAAGCAGAAGGAUGCUUGCCUGGCACUCAGGCGUAGGCGCUUCAGGGCAUAGAGUCUGACGUCUCUGGCUGAGCUGCCUGGGCAAUACCCAGGCAGUGACAUCAGCAUAUCGUCACAUACGGUCAGCGGAAAGGUGUCUUAAGGUUCCGUAAGACAUUUCCUGAAGCCCUUCAGAAAUUACUGGGGCCGAGUCUAGAAAGGUCUGAAGGCCUGUAGCAUAUGCCAAUGGAGAUGAACCAGCAAAAAUUUGGCUCGAGAGUCAUGUGACUCCACUGGAAGCCACUGUUGGGUGCAGAAUGGGGACAAGCCCCCCUCUGAGGGCAUCACUAAGACACCCUGCCUGCUGGCCACAGACCCGGCAGCUCAGAAACACGGCCCCCAUCGACAGGCCCAAGAUGGAUCUGAAAGAAGGGGCGAUUUUCAGAAAUGUGACAUCCAGGUGAGACGCUAUCCGAAAUAGCCACCAAAAUAAAUCAGAACUAAUGUCUGUUCUUAUGCAUUUUCUUGAUAUUUUAAGUUGUCUGCAUGCUUUUCCUGAAUACCGAAGUAACGUGCAGUUACCGUGGAAAAUGCAGAACAUUACAGAAAAAUCUAAAUGAUUAUAAUCUCACCGCCCGGAAGUAAUUAUUUUUUUAACUUCUGGGCUAUUUCCUUUCUGUCUCUUUAAUUUUUCUGUUUUCUUCCUUUCUUCCCAUUUUUUCUCUCCCCCCUUUCUUUUCUCCUCUCCUGCUCCCCCUCCUACUGUUUGCAGAGGCAAGAUCCUUUCUGUCUAAAUGUGACGUUUCUGGUUUUCUUGCCUGUAACAGCACAUGCAAUUCUAAGACGAUUGAAAAUUGUGGACCAAUACUUUUCAGCGAGGGGAGGGGGUGAUUCUGCCCACAGGGCCCACUGGGCAACCUCUAGAGAGGUUUCUGGCUGUCUCAUUUGGGGCGGGGGGGGGGGGAUGCUUUUAAACAUCCCACAAUGCACAGGGCAGUUCCCACAACAAAGAGGGAGCCAGUUCCCUGUGUUGAGAGAGUGUUGAUGUUGAGAAAGUUGGCUAUAGAGGUAAUUUUUGACGGUUGCAUAUUGUUCUAUUGUUUAAAAACUUUUUAUUUAUUUAAACACCAGUCCUCCAAUUCUGAAUAUUUAUUUUGAUGUUUUUAACCCAAGACCAAUAACUCCCGUAGCAGGGGUUCGACGAGAACAUUGCUGUACGUACGGGGUGAACAAAGCUCAUCAAGGCCUGGUGGUGGGAAGCAUGGCCCGGUUUUUCUGCACAACAUUCAACCCCGACUUCUCCUUCCAUCUCGUCGCAUGUCCUCUGUGAAGGAUCAAGGCAGGGGCUGAGACAGCAGAGGUCAAGUCACGUUGUCGCUUUUGCGGUGUUCUGCUAGCAUCACAGGGAUGCCCGUGACACUGGCGUGAGAACAUGACUGUUCUGUUCCAUUGGCCACCGGAGAACAGAAGGGCACGUGUGCCGGCACGGACUGCGUGGCUCAGAUCACAGACGGGGAGGCUGAGGCCCGGAAGAAAACGGCUCCACUCUUUUUUCUAUCUCCUGACCUAUCAGCCACAAGCAAGGGCCGCUGUCUCUGUGGCCACUGCGCCAGCCCUUGGCUGAGCCGGGGAGGAAGCCUGCAGAGACCUCGCGGCCCUGCUGUGGGGCAGGGGUGGGACUCCCGGCCACAGUGAGUGUGGAGCUCCCAUAGGGCUUCUGGGAAGAAGCCUGAGGCGCUGCUUGACCCGCUGUGGUCCCCUGAGCUGGAAUUCUUCCCGAUGGCCUCACGGUGGCCUUGGACCACCUGCAUCCCAAGCCCUGGGACUCUCUUAACCUUCAGAGGCCCCCCUGCACAGGCCAGCUGUCGCACAGCAGCUUUCUUGCAGAUUCUCAGGCUGGAACAGGAGCAGCACUGGGCCAGAUGAGGGCUCAACAAAUGUUCUCUCUAAAGGGCGGGGCAGGCAUAUUCCAGGCUUUGGAUGCCCCAGGGCCCUGGGGCCCUGCAGCAUGACAGCAGCUGUGGACAGUCUGUGAGUGGGUUUGUCGCUCACGGACCUCUGGGCUGGACCGCUGGGUCGACCCUGAGGGCCUGGAGUCGGAACCCUGCGUAAGUUGGUCUCCUUUACUCUCAUCUGAUGAGGGGAGACUCUGCAUGAGACCUGGGAGACCUGCUGGCAGCUGUGGGGUGAGGGCAGGCUCUGCACUCAUCAGGCUGUAGCACUGCCAGGCCCCUACCUUCCAGGAACUCAGUUUCCCCAUCUCAUACCAGUUGAUCCCUCCGCCCUCGAGCAGCCUCUUUCUCUGCCAUCUGCCGCCUCCACCACCUCUGCUGCCACCUGUCCAGGCCUCCGAAUGGAGGGGGGCAGCGGCGGAGCAGCGGCCUCCCCUGCAGCUCCAGCUUCUCAGCUUCUCGGCACAGGCCAGUGCUCCAGGGGCCAAGAGUGAGGCAGAGGGUGGAAUCGAGACCUGCUCUGCUCUCAACCCCUCUCCAGGUGCUGCCCUCCACGGGCCAGCCAGUCGGGGCUGGAGGCCCUGGCAGCUCCAGAGGGAGGGGCAGCCCCCUCCAGGCCCCUCCCCCCCUUGGUGGCGCUUGAUGGGCAGGGUCGGCGGGUGCCCCCCCUGCCCUGGGGUGCCUGCUCCAUCUUCACCUGCCCGUCCUUGUUCACAUGGCCCAGCAGCCCCAGGCCAAUACCUCUGUGUCUCAGUUCUGUUUCCUGUAUCCUCCCCUCCCCCGGAACACCGUGGGGCUGCCUUGUCCAACUGGCAGACUCCCACUUGUCUCCCAUGGGUCACUGCCUCCGAGAAGCCUUCUGUGGAUCCUGAGGAGGCUUCUUCCCCUCCUCCCGGAUGCCAGCACCUCCUGCACAGCCCUCCUCUUGACCACCUCUCUGCGGUGGUUGCUUUUUUUUUUUUUUUUUUUUUUUGGUCUUUUGUUUUUUGUCCUUUU